CCUACGGGAGGCUGCAGUAGGGAAUCUUCCAAAAUGGGCGAAAGCCUGAUGGAGCAACGCCGAGUGGGUGAAGAAGGUCUUCGGAUCGUAAAACCCUGUUGUUAGAGAAGAAAGUGCGUGAGAGUAACUGUUCACGUUUCGACGGAAUCUAACCAGAAAGCCACGGCUAACGACGUGCCAGCAGCCGCGGUAAUACGUAGGUGUCAAGCGUUAUCCGGAUUUAAUGGGCGUAAAUGGAACGCAGGCGGUCUUUUAAGUCUGAUGUGAAAGCCUUCGGCUUAACCGGAGUAGUGCAUUGGAAACUGGGAGACUUGAGGGCAGAAGAGGAGAGGGGAACUCCAUGUGUAGAGGUGAAAUGCGUAGAUAUAUGGAAGAACACCAGUAGCGAAAGCGGCUCUCUGGUCUGUAACUGACGCUGAGGUUCGAAAGCGUGGGUAGCAAACAGGAGUAGAUACCCCAGUAGUC
rnacentral:rRNA from 1 species